rnacentral:rRNA from 1 species
AACGAACGCUGGCGGCGUGCUUAACACAUGCAAGUCGAACGCGAAAGGGGCUUCGGUCCUGAGUAGAGUGGCGCACGGGUGAGUAACGCGUAGAUAACCUGUCCUGGUGUCUGGAAUAAUAUCUCGAAAGGGGUGCUAAUACCGGAUAUUCUUGCUUUCUAUAAGGUAUGCAAGGAAAGGUGGCCUCUGGAACAAGCUACUGCACGAGGAGGGGUCUGCGUACCAUUAGCUAGUAGGUGGGGUAAUGGCCUACCUAGGCGACGAUGGUUAGCGGGUCUGAGAGGAUGAUCCGCCACACUGGUACUGGACCACGGACCAGACUCCUACGGGAGGCAGCAGUGAGGAAUAUUGCGCAAUGGGGGCAACCCUGACGCAGCGACGCCGCGUGAGUGAGGAAGGCCUUCGGGUCGUAAAGCUCUGUCAAAGGGGAAGAAGUGCAUGGUGGUUAAUAUCUGUCAUGUUUGACGGUACCCUUAAAGGAAGCACCGGCUAACUCCGUGCCAGCAGCCGCGGUAA